rnacentral:rRNA from 1 species
GCUACGGGAGGCAGCAGUGGGGGAUAUUGCACAAUGGGGGAAACCCUGAUGCAGCGACGCCGCGUGUAGGAAGACGGUCCUCUGAAUUGUAAACUACUGUCUCCAGGGACGAAGAUGACGGUACCUGGUGUGGAAGCUCCGGCUAACCACGUGCCAGCAGCCGCGGUAAUAUGCAGGGGGCGAGCGUUGUCCGGAAGUACUGGGGGAAAAGGGAGCGGAGGCGGUGGUGCAAGUUGGGUGUUAAUUCUACCGGUUCAACUGGUAGUCGCACUCGAAACUGCAGCGCUUGAGAGAAGUAGAGGCAGGCGGAAUUACUAGUGUAGCGGUGAAAUGCGUAGAGAUUAGGAGGAACACCAGUGGCGAAGGCGGCCUGCUGGGCUUUUACUGACGCUGAGGCUCGAAAGUGUGGGGAGCAAACAGGAUUAGAUACCCGAGUAGGC